rnacentral:snoRNA from 1 species
GAAAGGUCACAGGUUCAAUUCCCCGUCAAGAACAUGUACCUGUCUGAUAGUGGACCCAUGCCAGAGGAAGUUGCAGCCUCAAACCAUUGCCCAGUCUCCUUACCCUUGGGCUGUGAGCACUGAAGGGGGCUGUACAGUA